UGGGCAGGCCAGCAUCAGUUUAGGCGGUUAGAUAAAGGUCUCUGUCAUGUACCUCUCUUCGGGGAGGCUUAUAGGGGAGACGACAUGUAACCAGCUUAGAUUGAGGUCCGCGCAUCUGCUAGGAUGCUGGCGUAAUGGCUGUAAGCGGCCCGUCUUGAAACACGGACCAAGGAGUCUAACAUCUAUGCGAGUGUUUGGGUGUCAAGCCCAGACGCGUAAUGAAAGUGAACGGAGGUAGGAACCCUUUGGGUGCACUAUCGACCGAUCCUGAUGUCUUCGGAAGGAUUUGAGUAAGAGCAUGGCUGUUGGGACCCGAAAGAUGGUGAACUAUGCUUGAAUAGGGUGAAGCCAGAGGAAACUCUGGUGGAGGCUCGCAGCGGUUCUGACGUGCAAAUCGAUCGUCAAAUUUGGGCAUAGGGGCGAAAGACUAAUCGAACUAUCUAGUAGCUGGUUCCUGCCGAAGUUUCCCUCAGGAUAGCAGUAACGUUUUCAGUUUUAUGAGGUAAAGCGAAUGAUUAGAGGCCUGGGGGUUGAAACAACCUUCACCUAUUCUCAAACUUUAAAUAUGUAAGAAGUCCUUGUUACUUGAUUGAACGUGGACAUUUGAAUGUAUCGUUACUAGUGGGCCAUUUUUGGUAAGCAGAACUGGCGAUGCGGGAUGAACCGAACGCGGGGUUAAGGUGCCAGAAUAUACGCUCAUCAGACACCACAAAAGGUGUUAGUUCAUCUAG
rnacentral:rRNA from 1 species